AUACAUGCAAGUCGAGCGCGUGAAACCUUUCUGAUCCAUUCGGGGUGACGAAAGGUGGAUCGAGCGGCGGACGGGUGAGUAACACGUGGGUAACCUGCCUGUAAGACUGGGAUAACUCGCGGAAACGCGAGCUAAUACCGGAUAAUACUUCUUAUCGCAUGAUAGGAAUUUAAAAGACGGCGUAAGCUGUCACUUACAGAUGGACCCGCGGCGCAUUAGCUAGUUGGUGGGGUAAGAGCCUACCAAGGCGACGAUGCGUAGCCGACCUGAGAGGGUGAUCGGCCACACUGGGACUGAGACACGGCCCAGACUCCUACGGGAGGCAGCAGUAGGGAAUCUUCCGCAAUGGACGAAAGUCUGACGGAGCAAUGCCGCGUGAGUGAAGAAGGUCUUCGGAUCGUAAAACUCUGUUGUUAGGGAAGAACAAGUUGGAUAGUAACUGAUCCARCCUUGACGGUACCUAACCAGAAAGCCACGGCUAACUACGUGCCAGCAGCCGCGGUAAUACGUAGGUGGCAAGCGUUGUCCGGAUUUAUUGGGCGUAAAGCGCUCGCAGGCGGUCUUUUAAGUCUGAUGUGAAAUCUUGCGGCUUAACCGUAAGCGGUCAUUGGAAACUGGAGGACUUGAGUGCAGAAGAGGAGAGUGGAAUUCCAUGUGUAGCGGUGAAAUGCGUAGAGAUAUGGAGGAACACCAGUGGCGAAAGCGACUCUCUGGUCUGCAACUGACGCUGAGGAGCGAAAGCGUGGGUAGCGAACAGAUUAGAUACCCUGGUAGUCCACGCCGUAACGAUGAGUGCUAGGUGUUAGGGGGUUUCCGCCCCUUAGUGCUGAAGUUAACGCAUUAAGCACUCCGCCUGGGG
rnacentral:rRNA from 1 species